CCGCGCCGCGCUCCCGGCUCCGCCGCUGCCCCUCGCCGGCCGCCGCCGCCAGCAGCAGCAACAGGUCCGUGCCCGCUCCUCCCUCCGCCCGCCGGGCGAACAAAGGGGCUGAGCGCGGCCCCGCGCCCGCCCGGCCCCUGCGCUUCAGCCAUUUGCCUGGGCUGGCAGCGCGGCGCCGCUCGCAGCCGCCUCCCGCUGCCGCUGCCGGGCGCGGCGCGGGGCCGCUGCCCGCGGGAGCUGCCCCGGAGCGGAGCGGGGCCGCCGGCCCGGAGGUGAGCGGGGGGGGCGGCGGGACGGAGCGGGCCGGGCUCGCGGAGCCUCCGGGCAGCGCUGGUGCGGGAGCUGCGAUAUCCGCGGAUCAGGACCAAUUGAUGGCAAUGCUGCACCCUUUCCUUCAUCCUAAAAUGCUCCUUGGAUGCUAACUGGCAGUUUUGGCUUCGGAAAGAUUACAAGACUGGGGGAAUGCAUAUGAGGAACACUGAUGUGACGAGAACUUCCUGAAGGUCAUGCAAAGUCAAAUUUGGCUAGUGGGGAAUCGCCUUCCAGAAUAGACUGCAGCCUCAGCCUUCCAGUGAAACAGUUGCACAAGGUGAAUACAUUUUGACAGUACUCGUAAGGAUCUGCCCUUAAAGGAGAUUUUUGCUCAUCACCCGGUGCAGUGUAGGGGGGACCAGUUAUCUUGAGGAGGA
rnacentral:lncRNA from 1 species